rnacentral:lncRNA from 1 species
GGAUGGAUUGGUUAUCUACAUAUAGUGCUACUUUGGACUGUAGAGAGAAGCUAGUGAGUCUCAGAGAUCAGGAUGGGUCAGAGUGUGUCUUCAGAGGAGACAGGAGAGGUACACCCAGAGGUAUGAUUUCAGCCCUUCAGGCUCAUCGUUUGCUUAGGAGGGGUUGUCAGGGGUUUCUAGCUCAUGUGAGAGAGCUAGAC